rnacentral:rRNA from 1 species
UCCGUAGGGGGUACCUGCGGAGGGAUCAUUACACAACAAAAAUAUGAGGGUGUGGUUUGCUGGCAACAGCGUCCGCCCCAAGUAUUUUUCACCCAUGUCUUUUGCGCACUUUUUGUUUCCUGGGCGAGUUCGCUCGCCACCAGGACCCAACCAUAAACCUUUUUUUAUGCAGUUGCAAUCAGCGUCAGUAUAAUAAUUCAAUUUAUUAAAACUUUCAACAACGGAUCUCUUGGUUCUGGCAUCGAUGAAGAACGCAGCGAAAUGCGAUACGUAGUGUGAAUUGCAGAAUUCAGUGAAUCAUCGAAUCUUUGAACGCACAUUGCGCCCUUUGGUAUUCCAAAGGGCAUGCCUGUUCGAGCGUCAUUUGUACCCUCAAGCUUUGCUUGGUGUUGGGCGUCUUUUUGUCUCUCCCCUUGUUGGGGGAGACUCGCCUUAAAACGAUUGGCAGCCGACCUACUGGUUUUCGGAGCGCAGCACAAAUUUGCGCCUUCCAAUCCACGGGGCGGCAUCCAGCAAGCCUUUGUUUUCUAUAACAAAUCCACAUUUUGACCUCGGAUCAGGUAGGGAUACCCGCUGAACUUAAGCAUAUCAUAGGC